rnacentral:rRNA from 1 species
CUGGAGGUAUCAGAAGUGCGAAUGCUGACAUAAGUAACGAUAAAGCGGGUGAAAAGCCCGCUCGCCGGAAGACCAAGGGUUCCUGUCCAACGUUAAUCGGGGCAGGGUGAGUCGACCCCUAAGGCGAGGCCGAAAGGCGUAGUCGAUGGGAAACAGGUUAAUAUUCCUGUACUUGGUGUUACUGCGAAGGGGGGACGGAGAAGGCUAUGUUGGCCGGGCGACGGUUGUCCCGGUUUAAGCGUGUAGGCUGGUUUUCCAGGCAAAUCCGGAAAAUCAAGGCUGAGGCGUGAUGACGAGGCACUACGGUGCUGAAGCAACAAAUGCCCUGCUUCCAGGAAAAGCCUCUAAGCAUCAGGUAACAUCAAAUCGUACCCCAAACCGACACAGGUGGUCAGGUAGAGAAUACCAAGGCGCUUGAGAGAACUCGGGUGA